rnacentral:rRNA from 1 species
GACAGAGGAUGCAAGCGUUAUCCGGAAUGAUUGGGCGUAAAGCGUCUGUAGGUGGCUUUUUAAGUCCGCCGUCAAAUCCCAGGGCUCAACCCUGGACAGGCGGUGGAAACUACCAAGCUGGAGUACGGUAGGGGCAGAGGGAAUUCCCAGUGGAGCGGUGAAAUGCGUAGAGAUUGGGAGGAACACCAAAGGCGAAAGCACUCUGCUGGGCCGCAACUGACACUGAGAGACGAAAGCGAGGGGAGCAAAUGGG